rnacentral:lncRNA from 1 species
UCAGCUAGGAAGCUUAUCCCACUGGGAAGGGCACUGUUAUUCCCACCGGGAAGGGCAGCAUUAUUCCCAGUUAAAGUUAGGAUUCUAAGGGACAGGAAGAAAUAUUGAGAAGAAAUGAGCAGUCUCUGGCCUCACAAGCUUCUGCUUCUGAAAGGGGAGAGCAGGGAGCUGGAUUUGGGCAAAUCUAGGCCAGGUUCACACAUGCUGAGUGGACAGACUCUGGCUCCUACCUGGAUCCUGCUCCUCUGCAGCUUUCUGUGCUCGCGGUCAUUGUCCACCUCGCUGUAUCCUGGCCUCUUCUGCUGACCACUAGAGCCCCACAGACCACGACCUCUGGCCUGGGCUGAGUCUUCUGGCUGCUAGGAGUGGAGGAUUCGCAAAGUUCACAGUCUCAUUAGUCCUCAGGAAUAAAAGGUCCUACUUGGCUACU